rnacentral:rRNA from 1 species
UGCGUAGGCGGCCCUUUAAGUCGGAUGUGAAAGCCCGCGGCUUAACCGCGGAAUGGCAUUCGAAACUGGAGGGCUUGAGUGUCGGAGAGGGUAGUGGAAUUCCCAGUGUAGCGGUGAAAUGCGUAGAUAUUGGGAGGAACACCAGUGGCGAAGGCGACUACCUGGACGAUAACUGACGCUGAGGCACGAAAGCUAGGGGAGCAAACA